rnacentral:rRNA from 1 species
UACGAAGGGUGCUAGCGUUGCUCGGAAUCACUGGGCGUAAAGGGUGCGUAGGCGGGUCUUUAAGUCAGGGGUGAAAUCCUGGAGCUCAACUCCAGAACUGCCUUUGAUACUGAAGAUCUUGAGUUCGGGAGAGGUGAGUGGAGCUGCGAGUGUAGAGGUGAAAUUCGUAGAUAUUCGCAAGAACACCAGUGGCGAAGGCGGCUCACUGGCCCGAUACUGACGCUGAGGCACGAAAGCGUGGGGAGCAAACAGG